CCUACGGGAGGCAGCAGUGGGGAAUUUUGGACAAUGGGCGAAAGCCUGAUCCAGCAAUGCCGCGUGUGGGAAGAAGGCCUUCGGGUUGUAAACCACUUUUGUACGGAACGAAACGGUUCGCUUUAAUACAGUGGGCUAAUGACGGUACCGUAAGAAUAAGCACCGGCUAACUACGUGCCAGCAGCCGCGGUAAUACGUAGGGUGCGAGCGUUAAUCGGAAUUACUGGGCGUAAAGCGUGCGCAGGCGGUUAUAUAAGACAGUUGUGAAAUCCCCGGGCUCAACCUGGGAAUUGCAUCUGUGACUGUAUAGCUAGAGUACGGUAGAGGGGGAUGGAAUUCCGCGUGUAGCAGUGAAAUGCGUAGAUGUGCGGAGGAACACCGAUGGCGAAGGCAAUCCCCUGGACCUGUACUGACGCUCAUGCACGAAAGCGUGGGGAGCAAACAGGAUUAGAUACCCUGGUAGUCCACGCCCUAAACGAUGUCAACUGGUUGUUGGGUGCAUUAGUACUCAGUAACGAAGCUAACGCGUGAAGUUGACCGCCUGGGGAGUACGGCCGCAAGGUUGAAAACUCAAAGAGUAGUAGCGNGNGAGAGCGACGAGACACAGGAGGAGAG
rnacentral:rRNA from 1 species